rnacentral:rRNA from 1 species
GUGCAGCAGGCGCGAAACCUCCGCAAUACACGAAAGUGUGACGGGGCCAUCCCGAGUGCCGUCCGCUGAGGACGGCUUUUCCCCAGUGUACACAGCUGGGGGAAUAAGGAGAGGGCAAGCCUGGUGUCAGCCGCCGCGGUAAUACCAGCUCUCCGAGUGGUGGGGACGCUUAUUGGGCCUAAAGCAUCCGUAGCCGGCUGGGCAAGUCCUCCGUUAAAUCCAACGAUUCAAUCGUUGGGCUGCGGGGGAUACUGUCCAGCUUGGGGGCGGGAGAGGCCGACGGUAUUCCCGGGGUAGGGGUGAAAUCCUAUAAUCCCGGGAGGACCACCAGUGGCGAAGGCUGUCGGCUAGAACGCGCCCGACGGUGAGGGAUGAAAGCUGGGGGAGCGAACCGGAUUAGAUACCCGGGUAG